AUUGAACGCUGGCGGCAUGCCUUACACAUGCAAGUCGAACGGUAACAGCACUUCGGUGGCUGACGAGUGGCGAACGGGUGAGUAAUACAUCGGAACGUGCCCGAGAGUGGGGGAUAACGCAGCGAAAGCUGUGCUAAUACCGCAUACGAUCUACGGAUGAAAGCAGGGGACCGCAAGGCCUUGCGCUCAUGGAGCGGCCGAUGGCAGAUUAGGUAGUUGGUGGGAUAAAAGCUUACCAAGCCGACGAUCUGUAGCUGGUCUGAGAGGACGACCAGCCACACUGGGACUGAGACACGGCCCAGACUCCUACGGGAGGCAGCAGUGGGGAAUUUUGGACAAUGGGCGAAAGCCUGAUCCAGCCAUGCCGCGUGCAGGAUGAAGGCCUCGGUUGUAACUGCUUUGUACGGACGAAAGGUACGUUUCUAUAAAGUAAGGACUCAUGACGGUACCGUAACGAAUAAGACACCGGCGUAACUACGUGCCAGCACG
rnacentral:rRNA from 1 species